UUUCCUGUGGCUCAGUCAGUAGAACAUUGUGUUAGCAACGCAAUGGUCGUAGGCUCAAACCCCAACAAGACCU